rnacentral:misc_RNA from 1 species
UACGGAGGGGACUAGCGUUGUUCGGAAGUAAUGGGCGUAAAGGGCGCGUAGGCGGAUUAGUAAGUCAGAGGUGAAAUCACAGGGCUCAACCCUGGAACUGCCUUUGAUACUGCUAGUCUUGAGUUCGAGAGAGGUGAGUGGAAUUCCGAGUGUAGAGGUGAAAUUCGUAGAUAUUCGGAGGCACACCAGUGGCGAAGGCCGCUCACUGGCUCGAUACUGACGCUGAGGUGCGAAAGCGUGGGGAGCAAACAGG